ensembl:lncRNA LINC01991 long intergenic non-protein coding RNA 1991
AUAUAUUGGGCUUCUGGUUUUCAAGGACAAUUUUAUGAUAAGUAGCAAUGAUGCCUCAAAAGCUCUGGUAGCUAGCUUGAAUGAACUUAUGUAAUAAACAUUUAUCACAGAACAUGUGUCAUCAAACACCUGCCAGUUCUGAGCGUUGGCACCAAAGCUGCUUUCAUUGUCAAAGAAAAGAGGGGGAAAGGAACUUGGCUGAACAAAGCUGGCAGACGUUUAUACUAGAAAAUUUAGAGAUGUCAGGAGCAAGGGAGCACCAGUGGUAGAAGAACCUGCCUCCCCUGGCUCCAUCAAAGGCCACAGGCCCAUGAGAAUCACCCGGCCUGCUCUGAGCAGCACACUCGGAGGCCACAGCCACGCACAGGAAAGUGAGAGGAAGUGGAAACGUGCGAGCAGAGGGCUCAAAGCGACGGGCUCACCACCGG